CCCCCACCCCCGCUGCGCCGCCGCCCCACCCACAGCGCCUAGGCAACCUAGAGCCUCUGUUUUCCCCAUGACGUGGGGUCGCCUGCCUUAGCACUUCUGUCCCUGCCUGGAUGCGGGUAUAUGUGUUGGGGCGGUCUGUGUAGUCUUUGGACAUCCAUACGAUUUUGCAGUGUUUUACCUAAAGAGUCAAGGAUGUGCAUUUCACCUCCCGGGGAUGAUCUGUAGUUGUACUCCGGAAGCUGACAAGAAACAUAGCGAGACCCUUAGGAAGUCUCACUGGAGGGACUGGCUGCCCUUCUACCAAACCGCCUCCCACAGUCGCCCCCACCAAGUGAAAUAGAAAGUAAUCUGGCCUGGGGGCUGACGGGGGAGACGCCCGAAAAAAACCGUGGCAGGACGCCUAGUGCCAGGCAGACUCCUGGCAACAGAAAGGAAGGGAAGUCGCAAGGAGAGAAGCUCGGGUUCAUAUUUCAACCAGGUUUCUUCAUGGAGCCUUCCUGGGGUGGGGGUGGAGGAGCGGUGCCCUCAUUUCGGAGUCCAGCUGUGCUCUGGUGAAGUCUGGUAGGCCCGCUUUGCUCACCUGAGAGUGUGUGUGUGUGUGUGUGUGUGUGUGGGCAGGGGCGGGAGGGAGGAAAGGAGCAAUGAGUAGUAAAAUGAUUCCAAGAUUAAGGGAGAGAGGUGCAUCACAGAGGGUGUGAGAUAAAUAAACUAGGACUUGGAUCUGAAGAGUCGGAAACCCAAACACGUUCAGACCCGUGGUAUGUUGGGGAACUUCGAUGCCCUACCUCGGGGAGGAGCUCAGACGUAGGGGAAAGUCCCCCUGGUCGCGCAAACUGUCCCUUCACACCCACGGUGCUUGCCCACCCCGUCUCCCUCCCCUAUCUGACCCACUUCCUCUCUCUACUUCCCCUGGUGGAGAA